rnacentral:lncRNA from 1 species
AUUCUGGUGGUCAGCUCAGUCCAUCCAAUCCAACAUGCAUUACAUUUAGCCAUUCCCUAGAUUUAGAAAAGCCUGUCGAUGGGGUAGAUCGAAAGAUUGCAGGAGGGAGAUCAACAUAACACUAACCAAUGAAGACUCAUGUUCUAUCCAUGGGGAAAAUGAAGGGAAUACUGAUGAGUGAGAUACCGCAUUUUCAAACUGUCCAUCCACCUGGAAAUUGAAGCAAAUAUCACUUCAAAGUUUGAGUCAGUCAUGCAACCUGUCUUGUGUGGUAAGGAAACAGCUUUUGAAAAAAGAGGGGCUUUCCAAUAUUGGAUCAUAUCAAAGGAAUCAAUAGUGGCUCUAGUGACAAAUUCAGUAAAGUUAGAUAAUUGCAUUUAUCAUAGCAAUUGUAAUGUUUAUUUACAUCACCCUUGAGACACUAAUUUUCUUUGAAUAUCAGUCUGGUCAACUUUGAGAGGCUAAAGAAGAAUCAGAGAAUAUUAACUUUAAUUAUCAUGUUGAGACCUCAGAAAGGGUCUGGUGUCAGGGCAAACCAUAAAACAGUUCUCUUCUCAAUUUCUGUCAGUGAGUAAGCACCACACCAUCCACCAGAUGUGUGUUCUGUCAAACUGAGAUAAGUACCCAGCAAGAGUGCAGUGAACAUAGAUAAAGAAUGCUAUUGAAAAAAAACUGUGCUCGGACAAUUUUUCUUUUGCUUCUUACUACGAAAGAUGGCUGAAAGGAUGUAUACUUCAAAGAGCUCUUUAUAAUCCUGGUGAAAAGAGAAGGUGUUUACCUAAAGGAACAACAUCUCAGAUCUCACCAGUCAGACAGGACUUGAUGCUUGCAGGCCCCCUCCAGAAUGUGUUCCACUCACCUUUCUGCCUUCCUGUCUCUCCCUCUCUUCCAGCGUAUCACUCUGUUGGAAAUAUGUAAAAUACUGAUGGUGGAAAAGAUGAAUUUACCUGUCAGGAGCUUCAGAAUUUACAAAAGUGAGUAUUUUUAUUUAUACAGAGUUUUUCAUAAUCUAUACUGCCCUUUCUUCUCCAUCAGCUAAUUUUGUUUUUCUCUAUUUUAUUUCAUUGUCCUAAUGAAUGAGAUAAUCUUGUGCACUACUGAUAACUCAUUUAUUGCUCAUCUUCCCUUGGGUACGUUCAACAUGCAAGAACAAUCAUUCUUCCCAAUUAUGAGCCUUAAAAGGCAGUGAUUGUGGAAUAAUUUCAUUUACACCCUGAAAACACCAUAGAGUGUAUGUAACAAUAAGAGUUCUAAUGAGAUGGGGAGCUUAGUGUGCUGUUCACAUUUGCCCCUUUUGCUACUUAAAUCCAGAAUUCUUCAGACCAGUGAAUCAGAACAAGGAAACAAACUGAGACGUAAACAGAUGCCUGUCAGAACUGUCGUACUGUUUUCAUGAGUUUAAUCUUGUUAGAAAGUUUGACAAUAAAAGACUGAAAUAUAUUGAAAAAAAAGAGAAA